CCUACGGGGGGCUGCAGUAGGGAAUAUUGGUCAAUGGGUGAGAGCCUGAACCAGCCAUGCCGCGUGCAGGAAGACGGCCUUCUGGGUUGUAAACUGCUUUUAUCUGGGGAUAAAAAGGCCUUGCGAGGCACAUUGAAGGUACCAGCUGAAUAAGCACCGGCUAACUACGUGCCAGCAGCCGCGGUAAUACGUAGGGUGCAAGCGUUGUCUGGAUUUAAAGGGUUUGUAGGGGGCGUAUUAAGUCUGUGGAGAAAGCCAACAGCUCAACUGGUGAUGUGCCAAUGAUACUGAUGGACUUGAGUACAGACGAGGUAGGCGGAAUUGACAGUGUAGCGGUGAAAUGCAUAGAUAUUGUCAAGAACACCGAUAGCGAAGGCAGCUUGCUAGCCUGUAACUGACGCUGAGGCACGAAAGUAUGGGGAGCAAACAGGAUUAGAUACCCUGGUAGUC
rnacentral:rRNA from 1 species